UACGUAGGGUGCAAGCGUUGUCCGGAAUCAUUGGGCGUAAAGCGCGCGUAGGCGGCCCGAUAAGUCCGCUGUAAAAGUCAACGGCUCAACUGUUGAAAGCCGGUGGAUACUGUCGGGCUAGAGUACGGAAGAGGCAAGUGGAAUUCCUGGUGUAGCGGUGGAAUGCGCAGAUAUCAGGAGGAACACCUAUAGCGAAGGCAGCUUGCUGGGACGUUACUGACGCUAAGGCGCGAAAGCGUGGUGAGCGAACAGG
rnacentral:rRNA from 1 species